UGCCGCGCCUCCGGCUUCAAUUUCGGGAGUUACGGAAUGUUCUGGAUCCGCCAGAGGCUCAGGAAGGACCUGGAAUACGUCGCGAGUAUCCGCUACAAUGGUGGCACCACCCACUACGCGCCAUCGUUCAAGGGCCGGGUGACGAUCUCCAGGGACAACGGGCAGAGCUCGGUGACGCUGACCAUGAACAGCCUCACGGACGAGGAUUCCGGAUCCUAUUUCUGUGCCAGACGUUUCACCAGCGGCUGGUACAUGUGGGAAUAUUGGCGUGUUUGUUGGUACAGCAUCAAGG